CUGUGAUAAUGCAGGACAACAGAAUCUUCUUGUGUGAACAGGAGGAAAAAAAUGAAAUAAAAAAUUAGAUACGUCCUGAUUAAGGUACCCUCCCCAGACAGGGUUUCUUAGCUGAUGGACUAUUCAGAACAUACUGAACCUCAGUGAAAUAGAUGUGAUGUCUCAACAGGGAAAGGAUUACCUUCUUAACCAGCAGCACUCCAGCUGUUUUGGCCCAUAUUCCUCAAGAUCACAAACUAAACCAGGGGUGCUAUAGCCCAGACUCCCUACAAAAUCAACUUAUUUGAUGAGUUCAUCUGCAAUGGUGAAAGCAACUGGGAGGAGUAAUUGUGCUUCUCCACAGCAAACAAAGAGAAAGAUUCAUGACGUGCCAGGUAGCUUCACCUUUCUUCUUCUGGGUGAAAAUCCUCUGGGGAAUGCCACUCCUCCCCUCCCCUCCAAGAACCAAAUGCCCCCCAAAAACAGUCCACAGAACCAUAACAUUAACUCUUUAACUCCCACCAUUUUACGUGAUGUUAUGAUGUGGAAUACCAACAACAAAAAUUACAAAACCAUUGCA
ensembl:lncRNA